AGAGUUUGAUCAUGGCUCAGGAUGAACGCUGGCGGUCUGCUUAACACAUGCAAGUCGAACGAACUCUUCGGAGUGAGUGGCGGACGGGUGAGUAACGCGUGAGAAUCUGCCUGUGGGUCGGGGACAACUACUGGAAACGGUGGCUAAUACCGGAUGAGCCGAAAGGUAAAAGAUUUAUUGCCCACAGAUGAGCUCGCGUCUGAUUAGCUAGUUGGUAAGGUAAAAGCGUACCAAGGCGACGAUCAGUAGCUGGUCUGAGAGGAUGAGCAGCCACACUGGGACUGAGACACGGCCCAGACUCCUACGGGAGGCAGCAGUGGGGAAUUUUCCGCAAUGGGCGAAAGCCUGACGGAGCAAGACCGCGUGGGGGAGGAAGGUUUUUGGACCGUAAACCCCUUUUGUCAAGGAAGAAGCUCUGACGGUACUUGACGAAUAAGCCUCGGCUAACUCCGUGCCAGCAGCCGCGGUAAUACGGAGGAGGCAAGCGUUAUCCGGAAUGAUUGGGCGUAAAGCGUCUGUAGGUGGCCAGCUAAGUCUGCUGUUAAAGAUCACAGCUCAACUGUGGGAAGGCAGUGGAAACUGGCAAGCUAGAGGUUGGUA
rnacentral:rRNA from 1 species